rnacentral:rRNA from 1 species
AGAGUUUGAUCCUGGCUCAGGACGAACGCUGGCGGCGUGCCUAAUACAUGCAAGUCGAGCGGACAGAUGGGAGCUUGCUCCCUGAUGUUAGCGGCGGACGGGUGAGUAACACGUGGGUAACCUGCCUGUAAGACUGGGAUAACUCCGGGAAACCGGGGCUAAUACCGGAUGGUUGUUUGAACCGCAUGGUUCAAACAUAAAAGGUGGCUUCGGCUACCACUUACAGAUGGACCCGCGGCGCAUUAGCUAGUUGGUGAGGUAACGGCUCACCAAGGCGACGAUGCGUAGCCGACCUGAGAGGGUGGUCGGCCACACUGGGACUGAGACACGGCCCAGACUCCUACGGGAGGCAGCAGUAGGGAAUCUUCCGCAAUGGACGAAAGUCUGACGGAGCAACGCCGCGUGAGUGAUGAAGGUUUUCGGAUCGUAAAGCUCUGUUGUUAGGGAAGAACAAGUACCGUUCGAAUAGGGCGGUACCUUGACGGUACCUAACCAGAAAGCCACGGCUAACUACGUGCCAGCAGCCGCGGUAAUACGUAGGUGGCAAGCGUUGUCCGGAAUUAUUGGGCGUAAAGGGCUCGCAGGCGUUUUCUUAAGUCUGAUGUGAAAGCCCCCGGCUCAACCGGGGAGGGUCAUUGGAAACUGGGGAACUUGAGUGCAGAAGAGGAGAGUGGAAUUCCACGUGUAGCGGUGAAAUGCGUAGAGAUGUGGAGGAACACCAGUGGCGAAGGCGACUCUCUGGUCUGUAACUGACGCUGAGGAGCGAAAGCGUGGGGAGCGAACAGGAUUAGAUACCCUGGUAGUCCACGCCGUAAACGAUGAGUGCUAAGUGUUAGGGGGUUUCCGCCCCUUAGUGCUGCAGCUAACGCAUUAAGCACUCCGCCUGGGGAGUACGGUCGCAAGACUGAAACUCAAAGGAAUUGACGGGGGCCCGCACAAGCGGUGGAGCAUGUGGUUUAAUUCGAAGCAACGCGAAGAACCUUACCAGGUCUUGACAUCCUCUGACAAUCCUAGAGAUAGGACGUCCCCUUCGGGGGCAGAGUGACAGGUGGUGCAUGGUUGUCGUCAGCUCGUGUCGUGAGAUGUUGGGUUAAGUCCCGCAACGAGCGCAACCCUUGAUCUUAGUUGCCAGCAUUCAGUUGGGCACUCUAAGGUGACUGCCGGUGACAAACCGGAGGAAGGUGGGGAUGACGUCAAAUCAUCAUGCCCCUUAUGACCUGGGCUACACACGUGCUACAAUGGACAGAACAAAGGGCAGCGAAACCGCGAGGUUAAGCCAAUCCCACAAAUCUGUUCUCAGUUCGGAUCGCAGUCUGCAACUCGACUGCGUGAAGCUGGAAUCGCUAGUAAUCGCGGAUCAGCAUGCCGCGGUGAAUACAUUCCCGGGCCUUGUACACACCGCCCGUCACACCACGAGAGUUUGUAACACCCGGAGUCGGUGAGGUAACCUUUUAGGAGCCAGCCGCCGAAGGUGGGACAGAUGAUUGGGGUGAAGUCGUAACAAGGUAGCCGUAUCGGAAGGUGCGG